UUAGCUAGGGUUCCUCCUAAAUGACAUAAUUAGCUUAGUUAGCUCCAAAAUUGUCUAUUUAAUAAAACAUGACCUAUACUUAGCUAAUUAUCCUCGAAAUGACAUAAUUAACUCCAAAAAGGCAUUCUNNNNNNNAGAAGGAGAAGGAGGAGGAGAAGGAGAAGGAGAAGGAGAAGGAGAAGGAGAAGGAGAAGGAGAAGGAGAAGGAGAAGGAGAAGGAGAAUAAGAAGAGAAGAAGGAGAAGAAGAAGGAGAAGGAGAAGGAUAAGAAGAAGAAGAAGAAGAAGA
rnacentral:lncRNA from 1 species